rnacentral:miRNA from 1 species
UUGACAUGUUUUUCCACAUUUUUCUUAAACUUCUUUGCCACAUCGAUAUAUAGCUACUGCAUUAGGCAUAAGAAGUUCAAGAAAGCUGUGGAAAAGCAUGACA